rnacentral:tmRNA from 1 species
GGGGCUGAUUCUGGAUUCGACGGGAUUUGCGAAACCCAAGGUGCAUGCCGAGGGGCGGUUGGCCUCGUAAAAAGCCGCAAAAAAAUAGUCGCAAACGACGAAAACUACGCUUUAGCAGCUUAAUAACCUGCUUAGAGCCCUCUCUCCCCAGCCUCCGCUCUUAGGACGGGGAUCAAGAGAGGUCAAACCCAAAAGAGAUCGCGCGGAUGCCCUGCCUGGGGUUGAAGCGUUAAAACGAAUCAGGCUAGUCUGGUAGUGGCGUGUCCGUCCGCAGGUGCCAGGCGAAUGUAAAGACUGACUAAGCAUGUAGUACCGAGGAUGUAGGAAUUUCGGACGCGGGUUCAACUCCCGCCAGCUCCACCA